AUGCAGACAACAAGCCAACGACAUCAGGUUGUCGACAGCAGCGACAUCAAUGGAUGGAGAUACACCUGCUGCAAUGGACUUUGUUGUCUCAUCGGUAUGGUCGCCUGUGACAGUACAAGGGAGCUUUCAUUUUUUGUUGAAAUCUCUGAAGAAUUUUAUGGAAGCGGGGACUCCUCUGGAGCUUGUGGCGGCGUUCAUGGCGGGAUUCCUCGUACUGUACCUCAACUACCUGUACAAGCGAUGGGGCGGGCAGGACGAUGCGCACUGGACGGGAUCCAGCACGGUGGCCGGACCGACGAGGAAGAGGACCAACAGAGGGGGACUUGGCAAGGCUGCAUGCUGGCAGCCAUGCCGAUGUUCAAAUCUAAGGCGUGUGUGCGUGCCGGCUGCAGCAAGAUCAGGGAGGAGUGCACGGUGUUCCUUGGCGCCAUGCAUGAUGGAUCUGGCACGGCGGUCGGGCCGACGAGGACCAGCGGAUGGGUUCGAUGA
rnacentral:rRNA from 1 species